rnacentral:rRNA from 1 species
GUGCAGCAGUCGAGAAACCUUCGCAAUGCAGGAAACUGCGACGAGGGAACUCCAAGUGCCUACGCUCAGCGUAGGCUGUUCUCAAGCCUAGAAAGCUUGAGGAGUAAGGGCUGGGUAAGACGGGUGCCAUCUGUGGGUAGCAGUCAAUAGAUUCGAUUUGUUACUGCAAGGCAUAAGCCGCCGCGGUAAUACCCGCAGCCCAAGUGGUGGCCGCUUUUAUUGGGCCUAAAGCGUCCGUAGCCGGCCCGGUAAAUGCCUGGGUAAAUCGUGGAGCCCAACUUCACGAAUUCCGGGUAGACUGCCGAGCUCGGGACCGGAAGAGGGAGAGGGUACUUCAGGGGUAGGGGUGAAAAUUUUCCUUUCCAUUAACGCUUUUGCGAGAGAGGUAA